rnacentral:rRNA from 1 species
AUUGAACGCUGGCGGCAUGCCUUACACAUGCAAGUCGAACGGCAGCAUGGAAGAGCUUGCUCUUCUGAUGGCGAGUGGCGAACGGGUGAGUAAUGCAUCGGAACGUACCGUGUAAUGGGGGAUAACGUAGCGAAAGUUACGCUAAUACCGCAUACGACCUGAGGGUGAAAGCAGGGGAUCGCAGGACCUUGCGUUAUACGUGCGGCCGAUGUCAGAUUAGCUAGUUGGUGAGGUAAAGGCUCACCAAGGCGACGAUCUGUAGCGGGUCUGAGAGGAUGAUCCGCCACACUGGGACGGAGACACGGCCCAGACUCCUACGGGAGGCAGCAGUGGGGAAUUUUGGACAAUGGGGGCAACCCUGAUCCAGCCAUGCCGCGUGAGUGAAGAAGGCCUUCGGGUUGUAAAGCUCUUUCGGCCGGGAAGAAAUCGCACAGGCUAAUACUCUGUGUGGAUGACGGUACCGGCAUAAGAAGCACCGGCUAACUACGUGCCAGCCGCCGCAGUAA